CAGUCGCCACGGUAAUACGUAGGUCCCGAGCGUUGUCCGGAUUUAUUGGGCGUAAAGCGAGCGCAGGCGGUUAGAUAAGUCUGAAGUUAAAGGCUGUGGCUUAACCAUAGUACGCUUUGGAAACUGUUUAACUUGAGUGCAAGAGGGGAGAGUGGAAUUCCAUGUGUAGCGGUGAAACGCGUAGAUAUAUGGAGGAACACCGGUGGCGAAAGCGGCUCUCUGGCUUGUAACUGACGCUGAGGCUCGAAAGCGUGGGGAGCAAACAGGAUUAGAUACCCCAGUAGUCCCUGUCUCUUAUACA
rnacentral:rRNA from 1 species